rnacentral:rRNA from 1 species
AUUGAACGCUGGCGGCCGGCUUAACACAUGCAAGUCGAGCGGGGUGAUGGUGCUUGCACUAUCACUUAGCGGCGGACGGGUGAGUAAUGCUUAGGAAUCUGCCUAUUAGUGGGGGACAACAUCUCGAAAGGGAUGCUAAUACCGCAUACGUCCUACGAGAGCGAGCAGGGGAUCACUUGUGACCUUGCGCUAAUAGAUGAGCCUAAGGCGGAUUAGCUAGUUGGUGGGGUAAAGGCCUACCAAGGCGACGAGCUGUAGCGGGUCUGAGAGGAGGAGCCGCCACACUGGGACUGAGACACGGCCAAGACGCCUACGGGAGGCAGCAGUGGGGAAUAUUGGACAAUGGGGGGAACCCUGAUCCAGCCAUGCCGCGUGUGUGAAGAAGGCCUUAUGGUUGUAAAGCAAUUUAAGCGAGGAGGAGGCUCUUUUGGUUAAUACCCAAGAUGAGUGGACGUUACUCGCAGAAUAAGCACCGGCUAACUCUGUGCCAGCAGCCGCCGUAA